rfam:Deltaproteobacteria bacterium RIFCSPLOWO2_12_FTLL_43_16 rifcsplowo2_12_scaffold_1599, whole genome shotgun sequence.
AUCCUCUAUAUAUAUAGGUCAAAGACAGUAGGGGCCUUUUGGCUUAAUAAUCCUAUCGAGGCCAAGCAAAAAUUUUGGAUUUGCGAUUUCGGAUUGCGGAUUUUAAAAUCCCAAA